AUGGCACUAUCGCAAAACAUAGAGGUCAGGGUUGAUGUCCAUUUCUGUGGAGUUAACUUUGGUGAUAUUUUGAUCUGCCAUGGUCAAUAUCAGGAAAGGCCCCAUCUUCCCUUCACACCUGGAAUGGAGUUUUCUGGGACAGUGUUGGAGACAGGCACAGAUGUCAGCACAGUUAAAGAGGGAGAUAGAGCUAUUGGCAUAAGAAACUUUAAUUGUAUGGUUGAAGAAUGCAUCACUGACCAGAGGGACCUGUGGCAGAUUCCAGAAAAGGUCUCCCUACAAGAAGCUGCUGUCCUCCCUAUAACUUGUGGCACUGCAAUUUUUGCUCUUGAGCAUCGGGCCCAUUCCCAGCCUGGAGAAAUUGUUUUUAGUGAUGGCAGCAGCUGGAGCACAGGCCUUGCAGUGAUUGACAUUAUAUCUUGUGUUCUUGAUGCAGGUAAUAUAGCUGCUGCUGGAAGUGAUGAGAAGUGCAAGGUGGCGGUGCAGAGGGGUGUGCAGUCCAGCAUGAACUACAGUUAGGGCAGCCUGAAGGAGGCAGUGAGGAAGCUGUUGGGCUAGGGUGGGGUGAAUGUGGCCAUCGACAUGGUGGGAGGAGACAUCUGCCUGGAGGCUCUCCUUAGCCUGGCAUGGGAGGGCAGGAUUGUGGUGGUGGGAUUUGCUGGAGGAAACAUUGCUUCUGUACCAGCCAACCGUCUGCUCCUGAAGAAUGUCUCUGCCAUGGGCCUGUACUGUGACUGAUACAAAGAAAUGAACUUUCCCAUCUUCUCUAAGAGCCUAUCUUCAGUGCUUCAGUACUGCCAGCAAGGGCACAUCCAACCAUAUGUCGGAAUGGUUUUCAAGCUGGAGGAGGUCAAUGAUGCCUUCCUUCAUGUGAUACAGGGGAAAUCCAUGGGCAAGGUGCUUCUCGCUGUUAAAUAAAUCCUCGCCUGAGCAGCAAAGUUAACAUGUCCAGAUCAAAACUCCACAUCUUUCCCCAAAACCUGAUUUCCCUUCUGUGUUUCCAAAGGUGUUACCACUUUCCUUACUAAUCCAGGUUUAAAAUCUUGGAGUCACCUCUGAUUCUGUUACAACAGAAUCAACUCCUAACUAAUAUGAUUAUAUAGUUUAUUGUCCCAACCUUUUUGAGAGUAAAAGGGUGCCAUUAGUAAUUACAUCAGGAAAACAUAUCCCAGGCAAACCAGGGUAUAUGGUCAGUCUACUCAAUGCAUUAUGAAAUGCAGUGAUUGCCGAGUUCUGUCAUUCCCACCUCUAAGAUAUGUCUCAUGUCCAUAUCCUCUUCUCCAUUCUGACUAAUUAAGCCUCAACUGCUAUCACCAGUGACCUUCUAACUGCUUUUCCUACCUUUAAACUACUCUCACCCCCUCCAUCCUUGUGAUGCAUUAUUGCCAUGGUGAUCUUCCCGAAGCAUAGCUCUGACUAUGGCCCAUCUCAGAAAACUACAGUGGCUCACCAUUGCCUGAUGGUGGAGUUCAGACCCCUUGAGCUAGCAUUUCAUUUAUGACUGUGAUUUUUCCCUGCACCACUUUCCAGCCUUAAGUAUGUACUGAACUUUCCUGCCUCCCUUAUUUUGCCCUGCUUGUGCAAUUUUUUCCACCCUCCAUCUCUGUCAAACGUAAGCCUUCCUGACCUCUAAGACCUGCCUUUGUCAUGUGCCUUUACCCUCAGGCAAGGAGCAGUCUCUUCUCUUCCUCUUCUACCUUCCUGUAGCUUCCCCAGGAUUUGUCACAUUCUGCCUUGAAUCAUAGGGAACAACAUGUGUAGUGGAGUGAACACAGGCCUCUGAAUCCAAGAUAUGAGUUUAAAUCCCAGCUUUGAAGGUGGUUACUUACGGUCUCAGUGCCUUCGUUCUUCUCCCUAUAUAAAGUAGAUAUUACAAUACCUAACUUAGAGAGUCAUUGGGAGCUAUACAUGCAGUGAUUGGGUAAAGCACCUGGCAUAUGGCAAGCAAUUAGCAAAUGCUGGUUACUUCUACUUCUUUCUCUUCUCUUUUCCCAAUGUAUCAUAAGUUCCUUGAGAGCAGGCACCAUGUCUGAUUUACCCUUGUAUUUCCCACAGUACUUCCCAUAGUGAGUUACCCUUAGUAAAUAGUAAGUUGAAUUGAAUUUAAAUUACCUGUAAGUUUUAAAAUGUGGGAUUAAAUUGAGAAUAUGUUGCCUUGGAAACACCCAAAUGUCUGUCGAUGGAUGAAUGGAUAAACAAAAUGUGGUAUACACAUAAUGGAAUAUUAUUCAGCCUUAAAAAGGAAUGAAAUUCUGACAUGUACUACAAUAUGAUGAACCUGGAAGACAUUAUAUGUGAAAUAAACCAGACAGAAAAGGACAAAUAUUAUAUGAUUCCACUUAUAUGAAGUACCUAGAGUAGUGAAAUUCAUAGAAACAGAAAGUACAGGUUGACAUCCAAAAUCUGAAAUGGGAAAUGCUCCAAAAUCUGAAACUUUUUGAAUGCUGACGUGAUGCUCAAAGAAAAUGUUCAUCGGAGCAUUUCAGAUUUUGGAUUUUUGGAUUUGGGAUGCUCAAUUGGCAUAAUGUGAAUAUUCCAAACUCUGAAAAAAUCUGAAGUCUAAAACACUUCUGGUCUCAAGAAUUUUGGAUAAAGGAUACUCAAUGUGCAACAUGUAGAAUGUUGGUUGCAAGGUGAGAGGGGAGAAGGGAGAGUUAUUGUUUAAUGGUACAAUGUUUCUGUUUGGGAAGAUGGAAAGUUUUGGAGGUGUGUGAUGGUUAUGGUUGUGCAACAGUGGGAAGGUACUUAGUACUGCUCAACUGUACACUUAAAAAUGGUAAAAAUGAUAAAUUUCAUGUAUGACAACAAUAAAAGAAGUUUUAAAAAAU